GGCUUCUUGGUAUUUAACUAAAAGAAGUCUAACCUGCCCGGUGGAUUAGCUCUAAACGGUUGCGGCUUGAGCCGUGUUAAGGUAGCAUAAUAAAUAGUCUCUUAAUUGGGGGAUAGAAUGAAUGGUUGAAUGAUGGGAUAGCUUUAUUAGUAAUAUAAAUAUGAAGUUUACUUUUAAGUGAAAAGGCUUAAAUUUUAUUGUUAGACGAUAAGACCCUAUUGAGCUUGAUAGUUUUUACCUACACUAUGUAAAAAUAAGUUUAGUCGGGACGGACUGGAAGAGAUGAGAUGUCUUCUUUGUCAUAUACUGAUCCAGCAGGGCUGAUAGAAAGAAGAUAGCUACCAUAGGGAUAACAGCGCAAUUCCUCCUCAGAGGUCUUAUUAAGGGGGGAGAUUGC
rnacentral:rRNA from 1 species